rnacentral:rRNA from 1 species
UACGAGGGGGGCAAAUGUUGUUCGGAUUCAUUGGGCGUAAAGGGUGCGUAGGCGGCGCGGUAAGUCGGGUGUGAAAUUUCGAGGCUUAACUUCGAAACUGCAUUCGAUACUGCCGUGCUUGAGGACUGGAGAGGAGACUGGAAUUUACGGUGUAGCGGUGAAAUGCGUAGAUAUGACGGACGGAAGCACCGAUGGCGAAGGCAAUCCCCUGGACCUGUACUG